rnacentral:rRNA from 1 species
AUACCACUAAUUUUCAUGAACCCCUAAUUUAUAAUGAAUGACUCCAUAUUUAUAUGGAAGACACCAUGCUAGGAUUAGUAACAAGAAUUUAUAAUUCUCCAAAAUGCAAAUAUAAACCAACAUGGAUAGACCAUUGGUAGUUACCGAACCUAAAUUUACUGCAAUAACACCCACAAGAAAACUCUGCAGUACUUACUCGUUAACCUAACACCAGCGCAUUACAGGAAAGAUUUAAAAAAAGAGAAGGAAUUCGGCAAAUGACGGCCCCGCCUGUUUACCAAAAACAUCGCCUCUUGACUUAUAAUAAGAGGUCCAGCCUGCCCAGUGAAUUUUAAACGGCCGCGGUAUCCUAACCGCGCGAAGGUAGCAUAAUCACUUGUUCUUUAAAUGGGGACUCGUAUCAACGGCAUCACGAGGGUUUUACUGUCUCCUCUUUUUGAUCAGUGAAAUUGAUCUUCCCGUGAAGAAGCGGGAAUAUUUUUAUAAGACGAGAAGACCCCAUGGAGCUUUAAACCAAAUAACAACUUAACU